GACCCCAUCGUCUAGAGGCCUAGGACACCUGCCUUUCACGCAGGCGACGCGGGUUCAAAUCCCGCUGGGGUCG
rnacentral:tRNA from 1 species